rnacentral:rRNA from 1 species
UACGUAGGGUCCGAGCGUUGUCCGGAAUUAUUGGGCGUAAAGAGCUCGUAGGCGGUCCGUUAAGUCGGAAGUGAAAUCUCAAGGCUCAACCUUGAAAUCGCUUUCGAUACUGGCGGACUUGAGGCAGGUAGGGGAAGGUGGAAUUCCUGGUGUAGCGGUGAAAUGCGCAGAUAUCAGGAGGAACACCUAUUGCGAAGGCAGCUCGCUGGGACGUUACUGACGCUGAGACGCGAAAGCGUGGGGAGCAAACAGG